CUGCACGUAGUCCACUUUGUACUCGUCAGCGAGAAGUGGCUUCUGCUGGACGUAACAAAGGAGGGAGAGGGAGAUGGUAAAGAGAUGUGACCAAGAAAACUCCCACAGCAAGCUUUCAUGAAAACUACCAACUCCAUAUUUUACCAGUGCAGAGCAGCUUGUCACUUCGUCCGUUGAACUGUCGCCAUUUUCAAGCCUUCUG